AUAUCGGGCAAUCUGUCUUUAAGCAGCAAUGAAUUACUCUAAAAGAAAUAAAUCCUAGAUACUUUUUCCUUCAAGUCAAGCAUCUUGU
rnacentral:pre_miRNA from 1 species